CUGGAGAACGGAGAACCUUCACAGACUAUUAAACCGUCCAGAAACAUGAGACUCUGUUCACCUGCAGUUCUGUUGAGUCCAUCUGUCAGUCUGGAUUCAAUGGAGGAAAUCUGAACUGAAAACAGGAACACAACAUGAUCAUGAAGUUCUUCUGGAUCCUACAGAACCAUCAGCUGAAAUGAAUCUAAACUUCAUCAUCAGAAAUAUUCACUGAUGGUCAUGAACUUGAAUUCAAAUAAACCUGAAUUAUUUCUAUCUCAGAAUCACUGAAAAAGUUCUGCAUGUUUAGAUUCACUGACUGAUGCUGAAAAUAUGAAGCCAAAAUAGAUCCAGGUGUUGAGAUUUACCUGAGGUGUGUGAGUCCAGGUGUUCCAGCUGCUCCUCUCUGACUCUCAGUGUGACCUCCAGAGCUGAACAGCAAAGCGUCCAUAAAGACCAGAAUGAUUGCAUCACUGAUGAAUGACAGAGGCUGAAGCUUUUACCUGCAGUGUGAGCCUCCAGCUGUUCCAGAUGUGAUUCACCUGAUGUCUGCGUCUGAAGCUCCUCCAGCUGCUUCUCUCCAGAUUUCAGUCUUUCCUUCAUCUCUGAACAGAAAAGAUCCUCAGAAACCAGGAAAGUUGACACUCAAACUUCCUCAAAGACUUUCACCGUUCUUGUUUAUCGUUUUUUACUUCCUGUUCUGUGAUCAUCAGGUAAAUAAAUAAGCUGUUGGUUCCUUUAAAGUUUGAGGAGUUAUCACCUGUGUUCACCUGAUCCUGCAGACUCUCACUUCUGUUGACUUUCCUCCAGAGAUCCGUCAGAGAUGAUCCAUCUGAAAGACAACCAGGAGAAGAAACAUGGAAACGGAUAAAUGUUUUCAAUCAGAUACACAACCUCCUCCUCAGCUCCACUAUCUGCUGGGCCACCUCCUUCUGGAGCCCCUCCACGCUGCGCCUCUGCUGCUCGGCCUCCACCUCGCCGUCCCUCAGCUGGCUCUCCACGCUGCGCAGCGUCUGCCGCCGCCGCACCUCCUCGAUCUUCAGGCUCAGCACCAGCUCCUUCAGGCCC
rnacentral:lncRNA from 1 species